AUUGAACGCUGGCGGCAGGCCUAACACAUGCAAGUCGAGCGGAUGAAGGGAGCUUGCUCCUGGAUUCAGCGGCGGACGGGUGAGUAAUGCCUAGGAAUCUGCCUGGUAGUGGGGGAUAACGUCCGGAAACGGGGGCUAAUACCGCAUACGUCCUGAGGGAGAAAGUGGGGGAUCUUCGGACCUCACGCUAUCAGAUGAGCCUAGGUCGGAUUAGCUAGUUGGUGGGGUAAAGGCCUACCAAGGCGACGAUCCGUAACUGGUCUGAGAGGAUGAUCAGUCACACUGGAACUGGGACACGGUCCAGACUCCUACGGGAGGCAGCAGUGGGGAAUAUUGGACAAUGGGCGAAAGCCUGAUCCAGCCAUGCCGCGUGUGUGAAGAAGGUCUUCGGAUUGUAAAGCACUUUAAGUUGGGAGGAAGGGCAGUAAGUUAAUACCUUGCUGUUUUGACGUUACCAACAGAAUAAGCACCGGCUAACUUCGUG
rnacentral:rRNA from 1 species